ACUGCUGCGUUGAGUCAUUUUUCGAGUGCGCAUUCUUAUCAACUUAACAUCUGAUAGUUCCUCCAUUGGAGGACAACAAAUGUUAAACUGAUUUUUGGAAUCAGACGGAGUGCUAGGAGCUUGCUCCACCUCUGUCGCGGGUUGGCCCGGUAUUGCAGUACCGCCGGGAUUUCGGCCCAACUGAA